GAUCCUGGCUCAGGAUGAACGCUGGCGGCGUGCUUAACACAUGCAAGUCGAACGGAGUUUUAACGGAAGUUUCGGAUGGAAGUUUAAGAACUUAGUGGCGGACGGGUGAGUAACGCGUGGGUAACCUGCCUCAUACAGGGGGAUAACAGUUAGAAAUGACUGCUAACACCGCAUAAUAUAGCGAAACCGCAUGAUUUUGCUAUCAAAUAUUUAUAGGUAUGAGAUGGGCCCGCGUCUGAUUAGCUAGUUGGUGGGGUAAAAGCCUACCAAGGCGACGAUCAGUAGCCGGCUUGAGAGAGUGACCGGCCACAUUGGGACUGCGACACGGCCCAAACUCCUACGGGAGGCAGCAGUGGGGAAUAUUGGACAAUGGGGGAAACCCUGAUCCAGCGAACCGCCGCGUGAGUGAAGAAGUAUUUCGGUAUGUAAAGCUCUAUCAGCAGGGAAGAUAAUGACAGUACCCGACUAAGAAGCCCCGGCUAACUACGUGCCAGCAGCAGC
rnacentral:rRNA from 1 species